GAUGAACGCUGGCGGCGUGCCUAAUACAUGCAAGUCGAGCGAACAGACGAGGAGCUUGCUCCUCUGACGUUAGCGGCGGACGGGUGAGUAACACGUGGAUAACCUACCUAUAAGACUGGGAUAACUUCGGGAAACCGGAGCUAAUACCGGAUAAUAUAUUGAACCGCAUGGUUCAAUAGUGAACGACGGUUUUGCUGUCACUUAUAGAUGGAUCCGCGCCGCAUUAGCUAGUUGGUAAGGUAACGGCUUACCAAGGCAACGAUGCGUAGCCGACCUGAGAGGGUGAUCGGCCACACUGGAACUGAGACACGGUCCAGACUCCUACGGGAGGCAGCAGUAGGGAAUCUUCCGCAAUGGGCGAAAGCCUGACGGAGCAACGCCGCGUGAGUGAUGAAGGUCUUCGGAUCGUAAAACUCUGCUAUUAGGGAAGAACAAAUGUGUAAGUAACUAUGCACGUCUUGACGGUACCUAAUCAGAAAGCCACGGCUAACUACGUG
rnacentral:rRNA from 1 species